rnacentral:lncRNA from 1 species
AUGGGGCUCCCGCCCCUUAGUCCCUCCUUAUAUGGGGAAGCGGGACGCGCUCGCCGCCCUUCCCCCACCCGCCGACGCGCGCGCGGGCCGGGCCCCGCCCCUCCGCCUCGGAGAGCGCGGGAAAAACAGCCCGCCUCCCCGCCCCCACCGGCCGUUCCCGCGCGGGGCCCCGGCCGUUGGGAGGGGCGGGAGGGGCCGGCGCGAGUGGAAAAUUCCAGGCGGGAGCGCGGCACGCGCGCGGCCCCGCGGCUCCUCCUGCCGGCGGGCGGGGGGCGGCGUGAGGCGGGCCGCGGGCCUCGCGGCUCCCCGGGCACGCCGCCAGCGCCGCACCGGCCCCGCCCUGGCACCUCCGGGGCACCUGCGGGGAGGGGAGGGGCCGGGCCGGCCGCGAGGCUCCGCGGGGCCGGGGUGAGGUGUGGGGGGGUGGAGGGGGGGGCGCCGGCCCCCGGUGCGCAUUGUUCUGGCGGCCCCGCUCCUCCGCCGGCCUCCGCCCUCCGUCCCUCCUCCGCCUCCCGCCCGUCCCCUCUCCCCUCCCUUCGCCAGGUCCCUCCUUUCCUCGUCACCCGGCGCUGUAUAAAUCCCCUCCGCCGCCGGAUUCCCCCCAUCGCGGCAGACCCUUGGUACUUUGGCCCCCGGGGCGGGAGCCGCGGCCGCAGCACCGCCGGGACCCGGAGCUCCUCGCCGCGCACCCCCACCACCGCUUCCCACCGCCCUCCGCCCCGCUACCCCCAGCGCCAGCAUGUCGGAGAAACGCGUCGAGGAGGCGCCGGCGGAGCUGAGCGCCAAGGAUGA